rnacentral:rRNA from 1 species
UGCGUGAAGUUGGAAUCGCUAGUAAUCGCGGAUCAGCAUGCCGCGGUGAAUACGUUCCCGGGCCUUGUACACACCGCCCGUCACACCAUGAGAGUCGGGAACACCCGAAGUCCGUAGCCUAACAGCAAUGAGGGCGCGGCCGAAGGUGGGUUCGAUAAUUGGGGUGAAGUCGUAACAAGGUAUC